AAAACCAAAUCUCAACUUCAUUCUGACAUCAACAUAAUUAUCAUAUCUCAAGCAGCACUAAACUGUGAGGAGGGCAGAAUGUCAACUUGGCUCAGAAAUGAAGGUUUUAGCCUGGUUACCACAGGGUUAUCUCCUGGUGCUGAUGCCACACUGCCCUGUCACCUUUCUCUGAAAACUAGCGCUGUUUCCAUGGAGAUCAGGUGGUUUAGGGAGACUAGAUGCAUCUACCUGUAUGAGAAUGGGCGUGUCAGAGGGAAAAGGUUAUGAGAACAGAGUGAAUGUGAACGUCCAGCAGCUGGGGAUAGGGGACGUGUCUCUGAUGCUGAGAGAGACGAGGGAGUGUAUACAUGCCAGGUCAUUGAAGGAGAAGAGAAGAGGGAAGUAAAACUACGAUUGUUUUAUGAUAAGUGUGCCGACUCAGCGACAGAAGGCCAAGAAAUGUCCAGUCACUACUAUCAAAUCCAUGUACCAUUUGCAUAUUAGAGGUGUGAGUUUGUCUGUUGUGCCUCAAUGUUUGCAUAAGAGAGGUGUGAGUUUGUCUGUUGUGCCUCAAUGUUUUCAUAACAGAAGUGUGAGUUUGUCUGUAAUGCCGCAAUGUUUGCUGUCUCUACUGUUUGCUUCUGCUUUUUUAGUGA